UAACAUGCGAUGAAGAAGAAGAGUACACAUUUCUUCCCAUUUAAAGAGAGUCCGCGGUGCUGGGAGCGGAUAAUGGCGAAUGUGGAAUGGGCUUCGGAGCAGCUGACCGAACACGGAUAAGUAGGCUCAGCCGGAGAAGACUCCGUUACAAACGUCUAAAGCGAUUUCAUUUUGACCAUAAUGAAAUAAUCAGGGUGGCACCACGGUUCAUUCGUCCCUUUU
rnacentral:ncRNA from 1 species